UAGGUGGCACUUUUCGAGCCUUUUGUUAUCGGUUUUCGAUUUUUGGAUGAUUGUAUUUUUCUGUUCUUGACUUGAAAUCUAUUAACUUAAGUACUUUUCUGCUUGUCUUAAUCAGGUUGAAGGCUCAUUUUCAAGACAAUCCAAAAGACCUAGAUCUUUUGAAGCAUGAUAAGAUGUUAAGCAAGAAGGCACCUGCCCCACACCUAUGUGAUGUACAUGAUUACCUAUUAGAUCCAACAACACAAGAAGCUAGAAAGAUUGUGAAGCUAGCCAGAGUUGCAAUGGACAAUACUAAUCCAUCUCGUGGAAAAGGAUCAAAGAAAAGGUUCAAAGAAGUAGAGACCCACUUAAAACUUUUUUAGCUGAGGUAGUUAAGGCAUACACGGAGGGACAACAAAAAGAGAGAUUUAAAAUUAAGGAGCUCGUACCAAGAGUUUUGAAGCAAAUUCAAAACCAAGUAAGUAAAUUCGAGGACCUUCUAAAAGAUGAUGGUAGCCCCAACAUUGAAUCCAUUAAAAGGCUCUUUCGUAAGUUUGAUCAUAAUCAUAACAGUUAUUUAACACCGUCAGAACUGGAGAAGCUAACGGAAAAUGUCAACUUCUGAGAGG